rnacentral:lncRNA from 1 species
CUCCUGCAUGUGACGGACACAGCACUGAUCCUGGCAGCUCCUUACCCCCAGCAGCCCGAAACUCACUCCUUAAUUACACAAGGGAAACCUUUUACCUCCGCAGCCAGAGUCUGGGGGGAAAGGCAGGCGUGGGAAGAUGGGUUCUCUACCUGGCCAGUGCCAUGUUGCCUGUUUCUUUACUGUAACUGUGGUGACAAAGAAAAGGGAAGAUGGAGCCUCCAUGUUGAACAUACCUGGCCCCCAGCACUAACUCCCUCUCUGGAUAUCUGGAACAAGGAGGACCUUAAACUUAACAAUAAAGCCAAUGAUGGUUCUACCAGUCUCCCCAAAGCCUCAAGUUUAAAAGCCAUAUGAACUGGCUGAUAGUGGAAAAUGGAAGCCAUGAGGAAAUCAGAUUAGAGUACUACCUGGUGAAGCCUGGAGGACCUACCAAGAAAAGCAAACUUGGAUCUUUGCAAGGUUAGAAGAACGAAUGGGAUCCAAGAAAAAGACUGGUCAUAUUCAACGGCUAAGAGCGUUGGAGAAGGCCUGUGGAGUCUCAGCAGGUCAGGUCCAUGACUCAUGAGUAGACACCUGUGUUUCUACUGCCUGGUGCCAUAAUCAUAAACAAGGAAGAAACUGAGGACAGGAGGGGCCAAACAAGUUACAGUUUCAUCCCUCCAGAGAGCCAACAGAGUAUUUUGCACGAAGUUGAAGCUAAACAGCAAAGAGGAACGAGGAUGGAUUCGAUAAGGUGCAACAAGUCCUGAACACACACAGAGAACUGGCUGUGAAUCCUGUUUCUGCCACUCACCACUUACUUGUUGGUGAAAAUGCUCAGGAUGUUCACUGCAGCCUGCCUCACCCUGGAAAAGAGAUGUGAGGAUAAUGAGAAAGAAGAGUAUGUUCAGUGCGGAGCAUGCAAAUUUGCAUGAAAACUUCCCAGGCAAAGCAGGAAAGAAACCAGACCUCUUUUCUGCACAAUAAUGGGGCCCACUAACUCUGGGGAAAAGAGUAAUCAGCAAAUGCCUUUCCUUUCUCCUGCUGAUGUUUUGCCCGUACUCAGACCCCUUGACUUCUUAGCUUCUACCCAAAGUGAGCUUGUCAUCAAAGUUCUCCAAAAAUCUGCAGUGUUCUCUUGAGCAAAUCUGCUUCCAAGACUAUAGCGCUCUGAUGCAUUGAGAUGACAGCAAGCGGCAUUUUUCAGUCCUGUUACCCAUAUGGCUGCUACCACUGCAUCCUGUUAAAUAAUGUCUUCAACCCAAGAAACCUGCUUCCUAGGGAAGUUUCUCUCUCUCUGCAUUUGUUCCCACUAGAGAAUGACCAUCACCAGAUUCCUGAACUGAAAAUGCUGUUGACACUUUGGAAACUCGGGCCUCUAUUAAUAGGGUGACCAACUAUCCUGGUUUACCUUGAGUACAGGAUUUUCAAUGCUAAAACCAGAAAAACCAGGAUGGUUGGUCAUCUGCCUCAGACCUAAUAAAUACCAGUCAAUAAUUCAGCCAUGA